rnacentral:rRNA from 1 species
UGGGGAAUAUUGGACAAUGGGCGAAAGCCUGAUCCAGCCAUGCCGCGUGUGUGAAGAAGGUCUUCGGAUUGUAAAGCACUUUAAGUUGGGAGGAAGGGCAGUAAGCGAAUACCUUGCUGUUUUGACGUUACCGACAGAAUAAGCACCGGCUAACUCUGUGCCAGCAGCCGCGGUAAUACAGAGGGUGCGAGCGUUAAUCGGAAUUACUGGGCGUAAAGCGCGCGUAGGUGGUUCGUUAAGUUGAAUGUGAAAGCCCCGGGCUCAACCUGGGAACUGCAUCCAAAACUGGCGAGCUAGAGUAGGGCAGAGGGUGGUGGAAUUUCCUGUGUAGCGGAGAAAUGCGUAGAUAUAGGAAGGAACACCAGUGGCGAAGGCGACCACCUGGGCUCAUACUGACACUGAGGUGCGAAAGCGUGGGGAGCAAACAGG